CCUACGGGAGGCUGCAGUGGGGAAUAUUGGACAAUGGGGGCAACCCUGAUCCAGCCAUGCCGCGUGUGUGAAGAAGGCCCUCGGGUUGUAAAGCACUUUCAGUGGGGAAGAACGCCUGGUGGUUAAUACCCAUCAGGAAAGACAUCACUCACAGAAGAAGCACCGGCUAACUCCAUGCCAGCAGCCGCGGUAAUACGGAGGGUGCGAGCGUUAAUCGGAAUUACUGGGCGUAAAGCGCGCGUAGGUGGCUUGAUAAGCCGGUUGUGAAAGCCCCGGGCUCAACCUGGGAACGGCAUCCGGAACUGUCAAGCUAGAGUGCAGGAGAGGAAGGUAGAAUUCCCGGUGUAGCGGUGAAAUGCGUAGAGAUCGGGAGGAAUACCAGUGGCGAAGGCGGCCUUCUGGACUGACACUGACACUGAGGUGCGAAAGCGUGGGUAGCAAACAGGAUUAGAUACCCUUGUAGUC
rnacentral:rRNA from 1 species